CCGAGAGGGACAGUCGGCGACACGGCAGCUCUGGCUGGACGGCGGUCGGGAGCGCUGAGUGCAGCCGGUCUCAAGCGGGCUCCGGUGACCUUCGUCGUGGCAGGAAACCUCUCGUUGCUGCACGCCGUCACCGCAAGAAGCUGAACACUGAAAACAGCACAGCUGGUUUUAAGCACAUCCUCUCUGACAUAUGGAGCACAUCUGUUACUCUGCGCUCGGGGCAGCUCGAACUGAAGAAGCGGAGGGGAAAAGAGACGUGCAGAGCAGAGGAAGGGAAGGUAAAAGGGAAACAAGUACGGGGCAGACACCCAUGUGCUUUUUUGUGAGUUUUUGUCUGGCACAGUCAUGUGUGAGUGAAUUGCCUCUAGUAGGGUUAAAGAAAAAAAGGCUGACAUGUGGUUCCUAUUGGAGAAGACACACUGAGAAAAGGAGGAUAAAAGAGAUGGAGAGUGGAGGAAGGUGAAGGUCAGAGGAAGAGGAAAUAUAAAAGAGACUGAAUUUGACUUCAGUGCAUCCAGUGGAUUGCAAGUUGACAGCAUACACAAUUUUCACCUCUACUGAAGCAACCUCCUCAAGGGAGAAGCUAACACACAUGCACGAACAUAAGAUGGGUUAAAGAAUCCCACCUCUCCCCAGCUGCCUGUCUUCCACUUGGGGCAUCGUCCACCUCGACAGCGCCUUUGCUUGCUGGGUUUGGGGGACAAGUGCUGGCAGUUUUCCUCCGGGACAGCACGGCCUGACCCGGUCACGCAGCUCACUUUACGGGAUUUGAAACCUCUUCCACAGGAGGCUGAGCACUGGAGAGGAGGAGAUGAUAGAAAGCUGAGGUCACGACUUUGAGAAUAACUUGUGGGGGGGGAAAAAGUAAACCGUAAUUUGGGUCAUGGUGCAUCUUUCUAUGGCUAGAAAGGCAGAAAAGACGCUACUCUAAGCACAAACAGUGUCUGCUCAGCAGGAAGCACUUUUUUUCUCAUCUCCGGGUUCACUGAGUUACUGAAAGGCUAAUGUAGUACACACACACACACACACACAGAACUGCAUCACAGGAGGGAGGGCUGGCGGGCUGGACGGUGCUUGGAUUAUAAAAAGGGGGUGGAUGCAGGGAUGGAUGCGAAGUGACAGGCCCAGAGUUGAAUGAGUGCGUGGCAGACCGUGUGGCUCUGUCCUGACCGGGAAAGGACCGCCUGGACCACACUGAAACGAGCUGUGACCUCUCAACCUCAUUCACAGAGAACAUGUGAAGCAGCAUGUGAGAGAAGCUAGAGCUAAUAUAUUUACAGGUUUCUAAA